AACGAACGUUGGCGGUGUGCCUAAUACAUGCAAGUCGCGCGAGAAAGCCGGGGCAACUCGGCGAGUACAGCGGCGGAAGGGUGCGUAAUACAUGGAUAACGUACCCUCUAGUGGGGGAGUAACCCACCGAAAGGUAGGGCGUAAUACCGCAUAAUGGCGCGAGGUGGCAUCAUCUUGCGCUUAACGCAGCAAUGCGCUAGAGGAGCGGUCCAUGGCCUAUCAGCAGUUGGCGGGGU
rnacentral:rRNA from 1 species